rnacentral:rRNA from 1 species
GACGAACGCUGGCGGCGUGCUUAACACAUGCAAGUCGAACGGAAAGGCCCUGCUUUUGUGGGGUGCUCGAGUGGCGAACGGGUGAGUAACACGUGAGUAACCUGCCCUUGACUUUGGGAUAACUUCAGGAAACUGGGGCUAAUACCGGAUAGGAGCUCCUGCUGCAUGGUGGGGGUUGGAAAGUUUCGGCGGUUGGGGAUGGACUCGCGGCUUAUCAGCUUGUUGGUGGGGUAGUGGCUUACCAAGGCUUUGACGGGUAGCCGGCCUGAGAGGGUGACCGGCCACAUUGGGACUGAGAUACGGCCCAGACUCCUACGGGAGGCAGCAGUGGGGAAUAUUGCACAAUGGGCGGAAGCCUGAUGCAGCAACGCCGCGUGCGGGAUGGCGGCCUUCGGGUUGUAAACCGCUUUCGCCUGUGACGAAGCGUGAGUGGCGGUAAUGGGUAAAGAAGCACCGGCUAACUACGUG